GCAGAACGCGAAGAACCUUACCUACACUUGACAUACCUCUUGGGGCUUUCAGAGAUGAUUGCUUUCGGUUCGGCCGGGGAGAGUACAGGUGCUGCAUGGCUGUCGUCAGCUCGUGUCGUGAGAUGUUGGGUUAAGUCCCGCAACGAGCGCAACCCUUAUCGUAUGUUGCCAGCAUUUAGUUGGGCACUCAUGCGAGACUGCCGGUGACAAGCCGGAGGAAGGCGGGGACGACGUCAAGUCAUCAUGGCCCUUACGUGUAGGGCUACAAACGUGCUACAAUGGCGGUGACAAUGGGCAGCGAGGUCGUGAGGCCAAGCUAAUCCCAAAAAGCCGUCUCAGUUCAGAUUGUACUCUGCAACUCGAGUACAUGAAGUUGGAAUCGCUAGUAAUCGCAGAUCAGCAUUGCUGCGGUGAAUACGUUCCCGGGUCUUGUACACACCG
rnacentral:rRNA from 1 species